ACGCUCAUCCCAUCUGCGCAGUCGUAACAGUGUUAGCCGGGAACAGCUCUCUGUACUGUCCGUUCAGUAAAAGGGGAGGAACCUGAGAGCUUAACCGACGUUUACCUACAAGUAAGGGAAGGAGGUGCUACACGCUGGAGCAGCCAGUUCAAAGACAAGUGUUUUUUCACGUUGAUCAGUGGUAAGACGU